rnacentral:rRNA from 1 species
UACGUAGGGGGGCAAGCGUUGUCCGGAUUUAUUGGGCGUAAAGAGCGUGUAGGCGGCCAUUCAGGUCAGCUGUGAAAACUCGAGGCUCAACCUCGAGACGUCGGUUGAAACCGUUUGGCUAGAGUCCGGAAGAGGAGAGUGGAAUUCCCGGUGUAGCGGUGAAAUGCGCAGAUAUCAGGAAGAACACCCGUGGCGAAGGCGGCUCUCUGGAACGCAACUGACGCUGAGACGCGAAAGCCGUGGGGAGCAAACAGG